rnacentral:rRNA from 1 species
UGGGGAAUAUUGCACAAUGGGCGCAAGCCUGAUGCAGCCAUGCCGCGUGUAUGAAGAAGGCCUUCGGGUUGUAAAGUACUUUCAGCGGGGAGGAAGGUGUUGAGGUUAAUAACCUCAGCAAUUGACGUUACCCGCAGAAGAAACACCGGCUAACUCCGUGCCAGCAGCCGCGGUAAUACGGAGGGUGCAAGCGUUAAUCGGAAUUACUGGGCGUAAAGCGCACGCAGGCGGUCUGUCAAGUCGGAUGUGAAAUCCCCGGGCUCAACCUGGGAACUGCAUUCGAAACUGGCAGGCUAGAGUCUUGUAGAGGGGGGUAGAAUUCCAGGUGUAGCGGUGAAAUGCGUAGAGAUCUGGAGGAAUACCGGUGGCGAAGGCGGCCCCCUGGACAAAGACUGACGCUCAGGUGCGAAAGCGUGGGGAGCAAACA